UAUGUGGAAUCACAAGGCAUCCUAAA
rnacentral:piRNA from 1 species